rnacentral:rRNA from 1 species
GAUGAACGCUGGCGGCGUGCCUAAUACAUGCAAGUCGAGCGAACAGACGAGGCGCUUGCUCCUCUGACGUUAGCGGCGGACGGGUGAGUAACACGUGGAUAACCUACCUAUAAGACUGGGAUCACUUCGGGAAACCGGAGCUAAUACCGGAUAAUAUCUUGAACCGCAUGGUUCAAUAGUGAAAGACGGCUUUGCUGUCACUUCUCGCUGGAUACGGGCCGCAUUAGCUAGUUGGUAAGGUAACGGCUUACGAAGGCGACGAUGCGUAGCCGAGCGGAGAGGGUGAUCGGCCGCAUGGGAACUGAGACGCGGUCCAGACUCCUACGGGAGGCAGCAGUAGGGAAUCUUCCGCAGUGGGCGAAAGCCUGACGGAGCAAGGCCGCGUGAGUGAUGAAGGUCUUCGGAUCGGAAAACCCUGUUAUUAGGGAAGAACAAAUGUGUAAGGAACUAUGCACUUCUUGACGGUACCGAAUCAGAAAGCCACGGCUAACUACGUG